rnacentral:rRNA from 1 species
GGAAUAUUGGGCAAUGGGCGCAAGCCUGACCCAGCAACGCCGCGUGAAGGAAGAAGGCCCUCGGGUUGUAAACUUCUUUUAUUCGGGACGAAGAAAGUGACGGUACCGAAUGAAUAAGCAUCGGCUAACUACGUGCCAGCAGCCGCGGUAAUACGUAGGAUGCGAGCGUUAUCCGGAAUUACUGGGUGUAAAGGGAGCGCAGGCGGGACUGCAAGUUGGAUGUGAAAUGCCGCAGCUUAACUGCGGAGCUGCAUCCAAAACUGUAGUUCUUGAGUGGAGUAGAGGCAAGCGGAAUUCCGAGUGUAGCGGUGAAAUGCGUAGAUAUUCGGAGGAACACCAGUGGCGAAGGCGGCUUGCUGGGCUCUAACUGACGCUGAGGCUCGAAAGUGUGGGGAGCAAA